UUGCAUGUGGAAAAUACCUUCUCCUCAUUCUUUUGGAGCAAGAACACAUCCUACAUGCUACACUAAAAAAGGAGUUCUCAGGGCUGCCAACCUUCCAGUAGAGGUUGAGUGGUAGUAUAUUUCUCCUACAUAA
rnacentral:snoRNA from 1 species